UACGUAGGAUCCAAGCGUUGUCCGGAUUUACUGGGUGUAAAGGGUGCGCAGGCGGACUUGUAAGUCAGGGGUGAAAUCUCACAGCUCAACUGUGAAACUGCCUUUGAUACUGCAAGUCUUGGAUCCAGAAGAGAGUUGUGGAAUUCCGAGUGUAGCAGUGAAAUGUGUAGAUAUUCGGAAGAACACCAGUGGCGAAGGCAGCAACUUGGUCUGGUAUCGACGCUCAGGCACGAAAGCAUGGGGAUCAAACGGG
rnacentral:rRNA from 1 species